rnacentral:lncRNA from 1 species
GGGGGGGGGCGGGGGGGAGGGCGGCACGGCGCGGGGGGGGGGGGGCACGCACCGGGGGUCCGCGCGCCGUCGGUCUGCGCACCGUGGGUGGCAGCGCCGUGGGUCCCCGCGCCGUGGGUCGCAGCGCCGUGGGUCCCUGCGCCGUGGGUCCCCGCGCCGUGGGUCCCCGCGCCGUGGGUCCCCGCGCCGUGGGUCCGCGCGCCGUGGGUCGCAGCGCCGCGGGCCGCCCCGCAGGCAUCACGGCGCUGUGGUCGCUGGCCAUCAUCUCGUGGGAGCGCUGGUUCGUGGUGUGCAAGCCCUUCGGCAACGUCAAGUUCGACGGGCGGCUGGCGGUGGCCGGGAUCCUCUUCUCCUGGCUCUGGUCCUGCGCCUGGACCGCGCCGCCCAUCUUCGGCUGGAGCAGGUGGGGGGGGGCUGCCCCACGGCUGCCCCACGGCUGCCCCACGGCCGCCCUAUAGCCACCCCAUAGCCUGCCCCACAGCUGUCCUGCCCCACAGCUGCCCCACAGCCGCCCCACGGGCACCCCAUAGCUGCCCCACAGCCGCCCCAUGGCUGCCCCACAGCCAUCCCACGGCCACCCCACAGCUGCCCCAGAGCCACCCCGUGCCCCACAGCCACCCCAUAGCCAUUUCAGAGCCACCCCAUGGCCACCCUGUGUCCCAUAGCCACCUCAGAGCCACCCCGCGGUCACACCGUGCCCCAUAACCACCCCACAGCCACCCUAUAGGCACCCCAUAGCUGCCCCAUAGCCACCCUGCACCCCAUAGCCACCCCAUAGCCACCUCAGAGCCACCCCAUGGCUACCUCCUGCCCCAUAGCUGCCCCAUAGCUGCCCCAUAGCCACCUCAUAGCCACCCCGUGCCCCAUAGCCACCCCACAGCCACCCCAUAGGCACCCCAUAGCUGCCCCAUAGCCACCCUGUACCCCAUAGCCACCUCAGACCCACCCCACAGCUGCCCCACGGCCACCCCGUGCCCCUCAGCCACCCCAUGGCCGCCCCAUGGCCACCCCACGGCCACCCCGUGCCCCACAGCCGCCCCACAGCUGCCCCACAGCCACCCCACAGCUGCCCCAUAGCCACCUCAGAGCCACCCCACGGCCGCCCCGUGCCCCUCAGCUGCCCCAUGGCUGCCCCAUAGCCACCCCACGGCCACCCCAUGCCCCACAGCCACCCCAC